rnacentral:lncRNA from 1 species
GUACAGCUUCUGUCUUAUGUUAUAAUUUAAAACUUUGAUGCGAUCUUUAACAGAAAUACCUCAAUUGCAGGAGUGCAACAUCACAAGUAUGGAUGAUUACUGCAAUCUACACUUCCGCCACCUUGGACAGGCAGGUCCCCAAAGGCUUACAGUUAAAGCAGGUUUAGAAAGACUACCAAAGCAUUCUCAGACAUUGAUGACACAAUUGGAUGAUCUGUGUUAG